UACGUAGGGGGCAAGCGUUGUCCGGAAUUAUUGGGCGUAAAGGGCUCGUAGGCGGUCUGUCGCGUCGGGGAGUGAAAACUCAGGGCUCAACCCUGAGCGUGCUUCCGAUACGGGCAGACUAGAGGUAUGCAGGGGAGAACGGAAUUCCUGGUGUAGCGGUGGAAUGCGCAGAUAUCAGGAGGAACACCGGUGGCGAAGGCGGUUCUCUGGGCAUGACCUGACGCUGGAGGAGCGAAAGCAUGGGGAGCGAACAGG
rnacentral:rRNA from 1 species